rnacentral:rRNA from 1 species
GACGAACGCUGGCGGCGUGCUUAACACAUGCAAGUCGAACGGAAAGGCCCUGCUUUUGUGGGGUGCUCGAGUGGCGAACGGGUGAGUAACACGUGAGUAACCUGCCCUUGACUUUGGGAUAACUUCAGGAAACUGGGGCUAAUACCGGAUAGGAGCUCCUGCUGCAUGGUGGGGGUUGGAAAGUUUCGGCGGUUGGGGAUGGACUCGCGGCUUAUCAGCUUGUUGGUGGGGUAGUGGCUUACCAAGGCUUUGACGGGUAGCCGGCCUGAGAGGGUGACCGGCCACAUUGGGACUGAGAUACGGCCCAGACUCCUACGGGAGGCAGCAGUGGGGAAUAUUGCACAAUGGGCGGAAGCCUGAUGCGGCAACGCCGCGUGCGGGAUGACGGCCUUCGGGUUGUAAACCGCUUUCGCCUGUGACGAAGCGUGAGUGACGGUGAUGGGUAAAGAAGCACCGGCUAACUACGUG